rnacentral:lncRNA from 1 species
CAACCAGAAGCAGGAAGGAGAAGAGAAAUUUGGGAUCUUCUGUGCUUUAGAUGGCUUCCUCAGUACAUGAGAUGUAUGGUGGAUUACUACGUCUGAAACAGAAGCUCCUGAUGAGAAUGGAUUAAUACUGCAAUCUGAAGAUCUUCAGAAGUGCAGGAAGCUGACUCAGGAGCUAUGCUCAUACAGAAACAGUUACAAUAUUUCUCAGCUUUGCAA